UCCUGUAUAAGGGCGGUGCAGGAAUGUAAGGCAGUGGAAUUGCUGGUCCGUCGUAGCCGCUUUGGCGGUACUCCUCAGGUCGUCGUUUUCCUCCUUGAAGUUCUCGCAUUCGGGCGCAAGCCUUUUAUAAUUUUUUACUAGGAACAAUAGACAUGAGUACAGGUACCGUUAAAUGGUUCAACGACGCCAAGGGUUUCGGCUUCAUCACCCCCGACGGCGGCGGCAAGGAUCUGUUCGCGCACUUCUCGGCAAUCCAGGGCAACGGCUUCAAAAGCCUGCAGGAAAACCAGAAAGUGACGUUUGACAUCACCGCCGGCCAGAAAGGCGACCAGGCUGUCAAUAUCAAGCCGGCCGAGUAAUCAGCCAGGCUGAAUGAAAAAAAGCCCGGGAAACCGGGCUUUUUUUCG
rnacentral:sRNA from 1 species